AAAAGAAGUUAUAUGAAAUAAGGACAAAAGAAUACACUUGUAAUCAUAGAGCUAAAAUGCUUAGGGAUUUUUAUAGGUCAGAUUGAUAAAAUACAAGAUGAGACUUUGUAGCCUUAAUGUUGGAAGUAGGUGUGGUAGAGAGCUGUGACGGGGUAUGACUGUUCCCUCUGUAUGUAAAGGACAUGUACAGCUCUGUUGAGUGGGGGAAGUAUUUGCCACAGGAUAAUGGGAUGAGAAAGGCACUGCAGCUACAGCCUGCUUACAGUCACACAGAGAACAGCUGAUAGCUAGGAUUUGUUAUUUCUCCUCACUGUGAUGUCUUAGUCUCUCUGCCAAUGGCCAUUUCCUUGCUAAUAAAUGUCUAUGUUUCCUUCCUGUGUCGUAUCCUACCUGCACCCUGCUCUUUAACCCCUUGAAAAUCCCAUUUAUAGAAGCUGUGCUGCCUAUCCUGAAGUUGCAUGUCCUUUCAUGCAUGAGGAGCCUCUUUCCUAUAUCAGAAUUUCUCAUUUUCCUUCUGGAUUGAGGAAGUCAUAGCCAACUCUGCUUCAAAGAGGCAAUUGAGGCGGUAGUGAUGCAAUUUAUCUUCUUUUAUGUGAGAAGGUCAAAACCACUAAUGAUGGUGCUUGCUUUUCUAAAGCACUCCUGAUCAUCGGAGCUGAGACCUCAUGCAUUUCAGGAAAGUAGGUUCCACUAAGAUACAGUAGGUCAUCCUCAAAGUGAUGUAUUCCAAAUUGUCAGGUGCAUGCUUUGCCCCUUAAUAAACAGAGUUUACUGCUUCCUAUCACUCUUUAUUUGCUCCCUCACCUUCCUUGGCAGAGUCUUUUUCUCCUUCCAUAUGUCUAUCCUUGUUCAUGCAAACUGAAUGUCUGCAUAUCAUCCUCCUUCCUCUGAGCACUAUUUUCUCAUGACAGCUUGUAUAUAUUUUGACUCUCUUGGCCUGGGUGACUUAGUUUUUAUCUCACUGCUUUGCCAAAAAAUAUUUCUCUUUUUCUUUUAGAUGUUCCCUUCUUGGUCGCGACUGACUUUGUUUCCUCUCCUCCUCCCACAGAAGUGACAGUUUUUGCAGUUCCUCAAAAUUGAAGUUUUAAAUACCUGUAGAUGAUCCAGGGAUCAGACUCUGUUACCAUCAGGUCUUAUUCACAGUAUUCCCCUGUAGGAGGGGGGAACUCUUGAACAUAAAAAGUUUAACUCAACUUAACAGGCCUAAAUCAAAUGUCAUACUGGUACAUCUAUAUAGAUUAUAUAGACAGUUUCUGAGAUGAUCAGGGCAUGGUGCUUAGGUGCAUCCCUGUCAUGAGCUGAUCCAGAUCUGCUGGUUUAAGAACCUAUAACAACUGAGAAGCAUCAAAAUCAGGAUCUGAUUCUGAAUUUUAAAGGUUAGGUGUGUGUUCAUUUCCCAGCUGCUGGAAGGAAAAAUUCAGAUGAUCCCACUUUGCAAGGUACUUUCCUACUUCUCCAUUCUUUCUGCAGUAUGGAGAAACCAGUUUCCCUUGUGAACUAUCCUUCAGGAAUAAGGAUCAAGUUAAAUAGUAACCUAAAAGGCAGGAAGAGAGAGCUGACUGUUCUCCAGCUGUCACCUUUUAGGUGGCUUUUUAUAACCCCCUCUAAUUCAGACAGGCUAAACCAUCCUUGAAUUAGCACAUGGCUGGUCCUGCAGGGACAACACAAAUGUUCUUUUACAGAACAGGACCCCCAGGAGUGGAUGGACAAUUAUUUUCACCAAUGUUCAGUGCUGCAACUUAGGUAUCAGUGAACAUUUUGAAGAGCAUUUUUGUCAUGGCUCUGCACGCUCAUGCUGUGUUGCUUGGUGCUGAGGAGCGGAGCCGCCCCGUACUCCAGCUGCUUACGGUGGCAGCACUGGCCUCAACAGGAGGAGCUGUUCCUCCUGUCAAGGGAAAUACAGCAGGCGUGGCUGAAAUGCAGGCAGAAUAAAUACACCGGCUGAGGAAAACAAAGCUGUUUCCGUGGUCUUUCGCCCACUGGAGCAGCACAAGAGGAUAGAGAGCAGACAAACUGCAAUAUCCUGGUAAUUAACUACCUCAGCAAUAUAGUGGCAUCACAGCAAUGGUAAUGCUGUGUAACAAUUUGCAUACAUUAGUUUUCAUGUUCCAGGAAAGCAAUUUCUGUAGCAUUUGAGAGAAAAAUAAGGAGGAAGAAAGGGAGAGAGGAAAGGUUGAGCUGAGGUCAAUAUAGGACUGCAAUUGAGAUUGCAUUCUGAGAGAGAGCUAGUGAGGCUCUGAAGGUUCUUGGACCUCUGUUAACUGGGAGUAAUUCUAACUGUAAAUAGGUGUAACUCUACUUGAAGCAGUUAGCUGACAAAGCUGAUCCAAUUUGGAGAGAUAUUUCAGCACCUUUGGGACCCACAGAUUUUAACCAGCACUGCAGGUGCAGACUGUCUCAGCUAUACCCAAAGCCGUGGGCCUGCAUUUGCAGAGCUCGUGGUGCUGCACAGGCACACUGCACCCUCCCUGCACUGGUGCCUGGCUUGGGAGCUCAAUUCCUGAGCAGAAGAGAAGACCCCCAAAACCUGUCACCAUGUCAGAUGAUCGUGUACUAGCAGUGGAGAAACAGAAGCUUUGGCAGUGAAAAUUUAUCUGUCUCUGCCAAGCUCCUUUGUAUCCUGAGGUCCUUUACACCAGGGCUGUUUGAAGAGGCAUCAAUAGACUCCUGGACAUUGAGAGGUGCAAUCACAGAAUCAUAGACUGGUUUGGAGUGGAGGGGGCAUUAAAGACCAUCUAGUUUCAACCCCUCCAUGGGCGGGAAUGCCACCCACUGCACCAGGUUUCUCAAAGCCCCAUCCAGCCUGUUCUUGAAUGCUUCCAGGAAUGGGGCACCCACAAAUAUUCUAGGUGCUCUUGGAUCUGGGGUACAAUGAAAUAAUCCAUUGCCAGGGCUGGUUGUAGGUAGGGAGAGCGGCUCUAGCUGCAGCUGCUAUGCUGCUGCAGCCACCGAGCCUCUCCUGCUCCUGUGCUGCAGAUCAUCAUGGGGAUGAGCCUCAGCAGAGGAAAAAAAGUAAAGCUCCUGCAUGGGCAAACCCAAAAGCUUUAUUUUUUGUCAUCUAAACUGCUGUGCGGUGGCAGUGAUGUUACCCCAUGGUUGUCACAGCAGUUUGGUUGAAACACUUGGAUCAGGAGGAGGAGUCCAUGCUCUGGCAGGCAGUAUGGGAUGGGGUACCUCAGGCUAGGUUCAGAUCAGUGGCAACCUGUAACCUCUCUGUUAGCUAUGAAGAUUUUUCUCCAUAUUUAUAUUUAUGUGACCUGGUGGCAUGUGUCCCUUAAAUUCUCUUUUUGUUCUUUUUUGUUGAUUUACUCUGUGACUUUAGGAAAAUUACUUAAUAUCUGUGUGCCAGAAUUUAUGUAUUCAUAACAUGGGUGUAUUGUUAAACAGCUUUCUCAGAGGGACAUUGUGAGGCUUAAUAAAUUCAUGCUUGCAAAGUAAUUUAUGAUUUCAGAUGAAAAUUGUUAGAGACGUGCAAAGCGCAUUAUAGUUAAAAUAUAGGAUACAAAAUAAUAAUAAUCAAAAGUCCCUGAAGAUGCUGAUAAUUCCAAAGGGGGAAUAUUUAUGACUGAAGUUACUAAUAAAAACAUCAACCACCGUGUUACAAAGUAAAAUUUUUCAACUAUAUAACAUUAGUUAAUCUUAUGCUAUUUAUUAUUCUGUUUAGUUAUUUCCAUUCUCAUUGCAUGGAAAGAAAAUCUAUUAAACUGAUCUAUUCUGGAUUUAUAUCAAAAGGACAUCAGUGUUUGCCCAAAAUAGGUCAGAAGAGUGCAAAGCCAUGGCAUGUUUGUUUGUAUGGCUACCUUUAUUGAUAGCAGAAAUCUACAGGAUGACUUACCUGAGUGAGUCCAGAAGCUUUUGUGGAACCAGGGCUUUGGUGUGACGGAACAAGGGCUUGAAAAAUUGUCUUCUUGCUAUAAACAAAAAAGUCCACAAAGAAUAAAGUCUACACAGGGUACCAAAUCCCUGGAAAGAAAUUGUGUGGUAUGUGCCAAAGCCUUUUCAGCAACAAAGAUUUCAUUCUGUAACACAGAAAACGGGGAUUAGUGUGACCUUCCACACCUCCAUAAAACAAAGGUUGCCUCUGCACAUGUCCAGGCAAAAGUUGACAAGAGGAAAGAAAUAACUCUUGUGAGGUGUUUCAGAGACAGCUCUUGGAGAAAAGGCAGAGCAAAGACCAAGAAAGAAUAGAAUUUGCAUUCUAUCCAUCAGGAUACAAUUCUUUUGUGUUUGUAAACAUUUGGGAUUUGGUCAAGAUACAGUCCUUUUUUGUCUUGAGCCAAAAUCCCAAAACCUUUGGAUCCCAAAAGCAAGACCAUGACUAUUUAAGGUUUGCACCAAUUUGUUCAACUGUAAACCCUACAAAACAUAACCUUUGCUGUGCAGCCUGUGUCCCCCUUCAGGCAGCUGGUCCCUUGGCAGGGAGGGUGCCUGCUGGUAGGUCAGUGCAGGAUGGAUAGGUGGGUUGGUUUCUGUGCUUCAUGUACAGUUAAUAUCAAAUGAAGGGCUGUGCAAUCUUUUAAAUAAAGGUGAUUUUCCUGUCACGGGACAAAUUAUGAAUGAUUUGCCUUCAAAAGUCAAUGCUGAACCGUGGCAGAAGAGACAAGAGAGUAUUUUGACUGGAAAUGUAAGGCCAUAAGUUGGACUUUGAAUUUCCAUUUCCUAGACAUAUCUAUGAUGGUUCCCAUGUGGGGGAAAAAAUUAAGAACCAUUUUUACUGUACUUAAGAAACUGAGUUUAUUUUCAUGGAGCUGUACUCUGAUCUCUGCUGAGAUGAAUCUGAGAAGCUGCCUGUUUUGAGCAUGGAAAGCCUGAAGGGUCUCUAAGUAACCAUCAAGAUUCUGGCUGAGAGCAGCCUGAGUUUUGAGAGCACUCUGGCCUCAGCUUCCCGUUUUGCAGCAGGGGGACUCAAGCGGUGCUGGUCUUGGGACAUCAAACACAGCAAGCCUUGUUCCUGUAAACUGAUUGCUGGGUCAUCCUCACAUGAUCAUGAGCUCCCAGAAAAGCAGAUUACACAGAGUGUCCAGUUUGGGGAGGACUGUAGAUGCUCUUCUUAACAUCCUUAGACAGUGUGUUUUGAUGAAGUAUACAUUUUAGGGACCUAACAGGGAGUGAGAAAGAAAGGGAUAAUCUGUCUCUAUUGAAAAGACAAAAGGGGAAAUGUGGGAAGUAUUCUAGCCCUCAGCCAGAAAAAUACCUCAAUGUAUUAGUCAUCUGAGUGAUUGCAACUUGUUCUGACAGUUCUAAUGCCAAAUAUGUGACUGAAAAGCCUAGGAAUACCAGGUGUCCAUAGUCUUUUUAGCAAUGAUCAACAACUCAGAUAUAUUCUUUGAAAAACCCAUUUUGUUUUAGAUAGUUUGGGGUUCAAAUGUUUACAAACCCAAACUCUGACUUUCUCUGCACUCUGGGUAACAUUUGUGGGUCUUAACAGUGCUUGCAUUUCUGGAGUAGUACAGAAGGCCUUAGCCUCAGUGCUGUGAAAGCAAAUGUGUGGGUGCCUUCACCCAGAGCAGCUUCAUCAAAUAAGAGGUUUUCUUAGUGCUGUGGGCAGGUCUGAUCCAGCUGUGAAGUUGGGACUGUGUUACAUGAAGUAGUCCAUGCUUUCAAACAAAUGAAAUGAGGGAAAGAAGGAAUAAUCUUCCCGUUAAAUCUGUUCCUGCCUAGUGUAUUUCAGAUAUUUAGCACUCAGAUUUCUUUUUUUCCUGUGAUAUGGACAGAUUAAAAAAAAAAAAAAGCAUAUGGCAACUGGAUAUAAUUCUUCACUUAAAUGAUGCAAAGUAUAUUACAAAGGUGAGAAAAUACUCCUUUUCUCUAUUCUCAAAAAUGUAAAAGGUAUAGAGGCAGAAGUCCUGCAGGUAGCUGAACAGAGUGAUGGAAGAGGUGUUCCUAUUUUAUUAUGUUCUCUGUGUCUCAGCUUGCUUCCCUGAUAAGUGUUGGAGUCUUGUACUGUGCCAAAGGAGGGGACUUUGGAAAAGACACCAAAGUACAUAGCAUUAUGAGAAGUGUUCAUAAAUAUCUUUGUAGUGUUAGACACAGUUCUUGCUUGGAGAUAUCUGAGUUAUCAAGAGUUAGUGCUCACUACAUUAAAUGUUUACUUCUUUUUAGCAUUUCAAGUUGUCAAUAAAACACUUAAAUGUGUAUGUGUGUAUGUAUCUCAUAUGGUGGCUGUGGGGAACUAGAGAUUUUAAAUCAAAAAAGACCAUGAAAUAUUCUGGGUUUGACUUCUUCCUUAUAAAAGGUCCCUAAACUUCAUCCAGUUACCUGCAUACUGAUUUCAGUAACUUCUGUUGGGUUAAUGCAAAUUUGAUCCUCAUCUGAGAAUGUCAAAUAAGUAGGAGUUGCUAUUUCCUUUGGUAGUUCAUUCCAUGCAUUUGUGCCCCUUACUGGAGAAACUAGGGAUGAGGCUGGUAAGAGGAAAGACUGAAAAUAAGGUUUAUUUCUACCUAAUUACAUAAAAUUUUAAUGUUUGUCCUUUUACUCUAGAGUUUUUCUAUCUUCUCAUUUAUCCCAGGAAAAUAAUUUCUGUAUAUUUUUUCAAAGAAUUUAUUGAUAAUUGUGCCUUUAUCUGGACUUCCUUGUUCUAAGAAAGCUGAUCUUCAUUUUCCUAGUGUAACACAUUUUCCCUAGCCAACUGAAAACUUUUCUGGCUUCUUUAUACCUCUUUUUCAAUUUUCAAGUAUCUGUUUUUAAAACUUAGAUAACAGAUUUUACUACACUUUUCUACUAUUGGUCUUGCCAGUCU